rnacentral:rRNA from 1 species
UGGGGAAUUUUUGGACAAUGGGCGCAAGCCUGAUCCAGCCAUGCCGCGUGCGGGAAGAAGGCCUUCGGGUUGUAAACCGCUUUUGUCAGGGAAGAAAUCUUCUGAGUUAAUACCUCGGGAGGAUGACGGUACCUGAAGAAUAAGCACCGGCUAACUACGUGCCAGCAGCCGCGGUAAUACGUAGGGUGCAAGCGUUAAUCGGAAUUACUGAGCGUAAAGCGUGCGCAGGCGGUUUUUGUAAGACAGAGGUGAAAUCCCCGGGCUCAACCUGGGGACUGCCUUUGUGACUGCAAGGCUUGAGUGCGGCAGAGGGGGAUGGAAUUCCGCGUGUAGCAGUGAAAUGCGUAGAUAUGCGGAGGAACACCGAUGGCGAAGGCAAUCCCCUGGGCCUGCACUGACGCUCAUGCACGAAAGCGUGGGGAGCAAACAGGAUUAGAUACCCUGGUAGUCCACGCCCUAAAACGAUG